UGAAAGACCCACCAAAAGGUCGCUGGCGUGGGCACUCCAGGGACACCAAAGUGGAGUGUGGGAGACCCUGCAAACCCCUCGGCUUGUGCGGGGAGCAUUCCUCCCCGAAAUGCUCGUCCACUUCUGGUUACGGCAAUCUUUGAGGGCAGGGAGGGUGGCCAGCAGGGGGCACUGUAGAGCAAGCACAUGGGCCUCGGAAUCCAAGCCUGGGUUCGAAUCCGGGCUGUGGGACGUCCUCACCAAGUCUCGAUUUCCUCCCGUAAACGAGGGAUGCUGGCGCCCCUCUCGCUGUGGGGGAAUAGGGCUUCCAGCGCUGCUCCCAGCAGAUCUCAGACCUCGGGACGUGAAGGUUAUUUUAGGGACAAGUUAACCAUGAAGUCUAUUUAGUGUAACAGCAAGAGCUGCUAAAAACGUGCACAGACAUUCCUUGUACAGCCUGAGUAUCCCUUAUCCAAAAUGCUUGGGACCAGAAGUGUUUUGGCGGCCGGGCAUGGUGGCUCACGCCUGUAAUCCCAGCACUUUGGGAGGCCGAGGCGGGCGGAUCACGAGGUCAGGGGAUUGAGACCAUCCUGGCUAACACGGUGAAGCCCCAUGUCUACUAAAAAAAAAAAAAAAAAAAAAUUAGCUGGGCUUGGUGGCGGGUGCCUGUAGUCCCAGCUACUCUGGAGGCUGAGGCAGGAGAAUGGCGUGAACCCGGGAGGCGGAGCUUGCAGUGAGUCAAGAUCGUGCCACUGCACUCCAGCCUGGGCGACAGAGCGAGACUCCGUCUCAAAAAAAAAAAGCUUUGGCUUUUUUUUGGGAAUAUUUGUACCAUAGUUAGCAGGUGAGCCUCCCAAAUUCCCACAUCCGAAAUCUGAAGUGUUCCAGUGAGUAUUUCCUUUGUGCGGCAUGUCGGCUGCUCAAAAGUUUUGAAAUGGGGGUAUUUGGAUUUGGGAUACUUAGCCCGUAGUGCUGAGGAGAAAAUUUCUGUCUCUUCUAUUUUUCCUACACUUCCCAAAUUUCUUUAAAGAGUAUGAAUAAAUGCUAUUGGGUAAAAAGAAAUCUGUUUAAAACCUGUGAUCUUUAAAGACUUGACCAGGGGAUCCCGCGCUUGAGGCACUGCCUAGGCCCAGUGAGCCAAGCCCAGCCAGAGUCGGGAGCGCGGCCCCGCCCCCGCAAGCCCCGCCCCGUGCCGAGGGCAUUUCCGGGCGCUCUAGGCAGCUCAGAGGACCCGUUCGGAGGCCCGGCGGGGGACCCCGGGCGAACUCAAGGGUGGCGGGCCAGGGCUGGGCGCGUGCCUGGCGUUGCUCGCGCGGCUGGGGGCCAUGGCUGUGGGGCCUCUCUGGGAGGGGUCGCGAGGCUGUGAACCAGCACGGGGCUACGUUGUAGAGAGAGAGAUGGGGCGUCACGGAGGCAGGGGGCGCCAGGCAGGGCGCGGCUGCCAGAGGCCCAGAGGCCUGCAGAGCUGGGCCCUGCAGGUCUGAGGUGCAGGACCCGAUUCUGGCCCAAGCAGGGGAGUCCCACGGCUCGAGCUGCCCGUCCAGGUCGUGUCUGAGGAGAGCCUGGGCAGCGGCCUGUGCAGAGGGCCGGCCAGCAGCUCCUGCUUUGAGGGCUUGGAGGAGAACAGAUUCCCGAACCUGGCCCAUGAUCAAUGUAUUUGGGUAUUUGAACUAAAUCCAGAUUUCCUGGCUUCCCCUGAGGCCUGCUGAAUCCCUUGGGGUGGGGCCUGGGAAUCCGCAUUUUCCAGUGGGCUUCCCAGGUAGUUGGGUGGUCCCUGAGUGGGUUCCCAUGACCCCAUGAAACAAGACCCUAGAAAACGCAAGGCAAAGUGGCCUGGUGAGUGGCCAAUGGUCCACAGGAACUGGAUGUGAUCAGAGCGAGACCUGCAUCAACUGGGCAGGGGAGGCGUGGAGCCAUUCUGAGGAAGAGACCCAGCCGGAACCCAGGGAAGAGCGGGCUGUGAAAACUGGGCAGAAACUUGCAGCGACUCGGAAGACACUGCCAGGAAACCCUCCCCGGGCCUCCUGUGGGGCCUGUAGCAGCCGCAGGGGUCGGUUCUCACCUUCUGGUCCCAGCCAGGUUGUCUUGGAGUCAGCUAAUGGGCAAGGCCCCUACCUCUCUUAGGAUCUGAGGAUGGGAGGGGCUGCGUUUUUCCAGAGGAUCUGCACGUGUGCAGGCUGAGUGUUGAGACUUGAUUGGUGUCAACUGGCACUGCCUGCCCAUGAUGCACAAAAGCUACUGUAAGAAACAGGGUCCAUGUCUCCAGGGAGCAGGACCCCGUUCUGAGGCCACAACCCCGAGGGCAGUCUCCGCCUGCAGAGUCCUCCCUCUCGCACCGGCUCACCUCGUGUUGAAUCCCUUGGCUACGGUUUGGUGUGAGAAAAGAGAUGGGUGUUUCACUCCCUGCUGCAUCCCUGGUGACGGCCCUGGCAUUUCGGGGCAUGAGAUCUUUGCUUAAAGGUUUUGUGGUGGUCACUGCACAGGGGUUGGGGGUGGGGUCCCUUGGUGCAAUUUAUCAGAUUCUGCUGUGUGGAUGACAUCCGCAGUGUUCCUCUCCAGUGGGGAUUAUCUGAGACCUUUCCGCAUGCCCGCACCCACAGUCUGCUCCCUCACGGCAGCAUGAACUCAGGAGGCGGGCGUUCCCACAGUCAUUACAUUUGCAGGGCCUCUCUAUGUCCACUCUGAUGCCUGAGGACCAGCGCUUCCACGAAGGUGUGGCCACGUCCAGUGCUGCUCAUUGGCUUCUCUCCUGCGGGAAUGUUCUGAUCCCGAACGGAGCCUGAGCAUGCGCGAAACCCUUCCCACGUUCACAAGGUGCUUCUCCAGUGUUCCAUUACAUCUCACCUAUGCACACUACAUGCAUACGGUUUCCACCGGCUGUGUGUGUCCCUAGAAGUCACAUUCACGGCGUUUCUCCCUGGGAGGAAUUCUCCUGUGCAUGGCUGCUCUGAGACCAUUUGCACCUGCGGCCACGCGUGGGCUCCUCAAGGCUUACAAACCAGGCUGGACUCCUGAAGCCCUAGCUGCACUUGGCACUCGGCGAGGUUUUUCUACAAAAUCUCAUCUCAGCCAUCUGAGUCCUUCACCAUUUAUCUUAUGAAUCCGCUCGAACGUACAAGGAAGGGCCUCUCUGCCCUCCUGCUCCAGGGAGGAGGUUUUGACCCUCAGCUCCACCUCUGCGGCUGGCCCGGUCUCCGCAAACCUUUUUCUGCUUGGCCAGCUGGUGCCAUGCUAGGCUUUCCCACUAGGGGCGCCAGAGAAAGCGCGCGAGGCUGCGGAGGAGAGAGGGGCACACUCUUUCCGGUUUGCUUCCGGUUUUUUCCUCAGGUUUCCGGUCUGUUUGGUGCCCUGGUCGCGUGUCUUCGGAACUCUGCUGCUUCUCCCCGGCAGGAGCACUUCCUUCCGCGGCUGCUAAAACUGGUGUGCGGGUUCCCAACUUCGCAGAAGCAGCUUCAUCGGCCCCCCGCUAGAGACCUCAGACUGCAGCCAUCGACGCCUCGCCUCGGGGAUCUGUCCCCACCCUUGGGGCCAGCUCACCAUGAGUCAGGCCCUGUGCUAGGUGCUGGGAUGAAGCAGUGACUGACACAGGCCUGGACCUGUCCUUGUGAAGAGUGCGUCUGUGACACAGACACUGUGCCAUGUGGCAAAACUUGAACGGAGACAUCAGCUCUUUGUGGGUCUCAAGUCUACUGGCUUUCAAUCAGCUCUUCUGCUUGACAGCUGCAGGUCUUGGGACUGCCCAGCCCCCAUAACCCUGUGAGUGCAUUCCUGAUAAUAACCCUCUUUGUCUUGUCCUCCCCCACCCCACAUCAUUGGUUCUGUUUCUCUGGAGAACCAUAAUACAUCAUUUACUAAUCAGGAAAUAGAUUCAGAGACAUUAAUAACUCAUCCAACCUCACAGUUAACUGCAGAGUUGGGCUUGAAAUUCCAAGGUCGAUUUUCUUAGCCAGUACACCAUGCUACAUAUAUGUAUGUAAAAAUAAAAACGCUUGUGAACUGAAAAGGGUCC